GACGAACGCUGGCGGCGUGCUUAACACACGCAAAUCGAACGGUAAGGCCCUUCGGGGUACACGAGUGGCGAACGGGUGAGUAACACGUGGGUGAUCUGCCCUGCACUUCGGGAUAAGCCUGGGAAACUGGGUCUAAUACCGGAUAGGACCACUGCCUGCAUGGGUGGUGGUGGAAAGCUUUUGCGGUGUGGGAUGGGCCCGCGGCCUAUCAGCUUGUUGGUGGGGUGAUGGCCUACCAAGGCGACGACGGGUAGCCGGCCUGAGAGGGUGACCGGCCACACUGGGACUGAGAUACGGCCCAGACUCCUACGGGAGGCAGCAGUGGGGAAUAUUGCACAAUGGGCGCAAGCCUGAUGCAGCGACGCCGCGUGAGGGAUGACGGCCUCCGGGUUGUAAACCUCUUUCAGCACCGACGAAGCGCAAGUGACGGUAGGUGCAGAAGAAGGACCGGCCAACUACGUGCCAGCAGCCGCCGUAA
rnacentral:rRNA from 1 species